rnacentral:rRNA from 1 species
UGUCUUUUAAAUAGAGACUAGAAUGAAUGGCCAAACGAGGUUCUACCUGUCUCUUACAAAUAAUCAGUGAAAUUGAUCUUCCUGUGCAAAAGCAGGAAUAAUAUUAUAAGACGAGAAGACCCUGUGGAACUUCAAAUACAAAUCAACUAUCACCGAUAUCCGCCCACGGGCCCACGUCAAACUAGCAUCUGAUUUAUAUUUUCGGUUGGGGCGACCUCGGAGUAAAAUAAAACCUCCGAAAAAGAAUUCUCUCUAAACCUAGACCUACUACCCAAAGUGCCUCCGGCAAAACGAUCCAAUAUAAUUGAUCAACGAACCAAGCUACCCCAGGGAUAACAGCGCAAUCCCAUCCUAGAGUUCCUAUCGACGAUGGAGUUUACGACCUCGAUGUUGGAUCAGGACAUCCUGAUGGUGCAGCCGCUAUCAAGGGUUCGUUUGUUCAACGAUUAAUAGU